rnacentral:rRNA from 1 species
GAUGAACGCUGGCGGCGUGCCUAAUACAUGCAAGUCGAGCGAACAGACGAGGAGCUUGCUCCUCUGACGUUAGCGGCGGACGGGUGAGUAACACGUGGAUAACCUACCUAUAAGACUGGGAUAACUUCGGGAAACCGGAGCUAAUACCGGAUAAUAUAUUGAACCGCAUGGUUCAAUAGUGAAAUACGGUUUUGCUGUCACUUAUAGAUGGAUCCGCGCCGCAUUAGCUAGUUGGUAAGGUAACGGCUUAUCAAGGCAACGAUGCGUAGCCGACCUGAGAGGGUGGUCGGCCACACUGGAACUGGGCCACGGUCCAUACUCCUACGGGAGGCAGCAGUAGGGAAUCUUCCGCAAUGGGCGAAAGCCUGACGGAGCAACGCCGCGUGAGUGAUGAAGGUCUUCGGAUCGUAAAACUCUGUUAUUAGGGAAGAACAAAUGUGUAAGUAACUAUGCACGUCUUGACGGUACCUAAUCAGAAAGCCACGGCUAACUACGUG